UACGGGGGGGGCGAGCGUUGUUCGGAAUUACUGGGCGUAAAGGGCGCGUAGGCGGUCUGCUAAGUUGAAUGUGAAAACUCUGGGCUUAACCCAGAGCCUGCAUUCAAUACUGACAGGCUAGAGUUCUGGAGGGGAUAGCGGAAUUCCUGGUGUAGCGGUGAAAUGCGUAGAGAUCCGGAAGAACACCGGUGGCGAAGGCGGUCUGCUGGGCAGUUGCUGACACUGAGGCGCGACAGCGUGGGGAGCAAACAGG
rnacentral:rRNA from 1 species